GGGUCGGUAGUCUAGUGGUAUGAUGUCGCCUUGACAUGGCGGAGGUCGCAGGUUCAAAUCCUGCUCGACCCA
rnacentral:tRNA from 1 species